rnacentral:lncRNA from 1 species
GUUCUGUUUGUAUGGUGCUCUUCAUAGCAUCAGUGCCAAAGGCCUUGGAGAUUUUAACCCUAGACACAAACUAGUCAUUUUCACAGGAUCAUAUUAAAAGUGACUUCUAGGACUAAAUAGAUAAUAAAAAUGCAUUAUAAUGAUCAAUCUGUAUGAAAGUUAAUAUUAUGCUCCAUUAACUCUCUAGGUAACAGUCUCAUAUAGUAGUAUCAACACCAACCACCUCAAAGACUUAUAACAAUCUAAAUUAAACACUGUAAACAUGUUUACAUCAGUCAAAAAGCUUGUCAUGUAGGAUUUUGGCAAAAUAGUUAGAGUGCUUGUGUCAUCCUUUAUGAAGUUGUACUGUAGUUUCAGAAAACUUUUAGUACAAAUGAUCAUUUGUAAUAAAAGUUUACCUAAGCAUAAAAUGAUUUAACACGUAACCUUGUUUGAAAAGUUUUAAAAUGUAGUUCUCCAAUAAUUUUUAGCUGCUAACAUAUUGUAUAUCACAGAGAUGUUCCUGACUGCCAGUAAUUACAUUAGUACAUAAUUAAACAGUCCUCUGGUUUAUAAGAAUUUACAUUUAACUUGAUAACAAAAAAGUAUUUUUUCCAAAAUAAUGUGCAACAAUAGAACAUGUGAGUUCUUGGAAAAACCGUAACUUGUCUUUAACUAUCAAGGUUCUGAAAGACUUUACAGAUCUCUUAAAUUUUCUUAGUAUACAGCCUUAAUUUCGAGUGUUCAGCUGGGCUGUAUUAUUAUUAGUUCAUCGGGUAUACUAAGAUCAAGUAACAUUAUCUCAUUGUUCUAGAAACGAACAAUAAAAAACUUCCACAAAAGUACCUGCAAGUUCCUUCGUAUUCCUUUGAUAGUCAUUAAAGACAAUUGAGAGAACAUCCCUAUUUCAGUUCUUUUUCCUGUCAAUAUCUGAGAAAAUUUGAACACAUGCAAGUCAAAACUACCAUAAUGCAGACACAGAAAGGUCCUCUUUCAUGAAGUUCAUCAAUAAAUGACUACCUUCAAUAAAUAAGUCUAUUUGGAAAUUCUAGAGCAUUUUUGUUCAACACAUUAGUCUUUUUUCUUUUCCAAUAGGUCUUUCUGUUUAAGCUCUCCAUCUGAAAGUUCUGUAUAUUUUCCGUUCUCCUCCUCUUGCUCUUCCUCACUGCCAUCAUCUGUGAGCUCCCGAUCGCUGUUUUCCUUUUUAACUGCCUCGUGUUCAUCUACACCUCCAUCUGUAUCAGCUGUGCAGAUUCCGUAACACAUUAUGCUGAUGACACCCAGGGGCAACCCAAAGAGAAAGCAUCCCAGAAGUGGUGAACUCUUGAAUACUGACACUACAGUAGACUUGGCAUCAUAGACUAUUCUCUUGAUUCGCUGCAGAACUCCGUCACCACCUUGUGCUUCAGCUGUACCAUCCAAGAUAUUGUUAAUAAACUGAACCAUGUCUUCUGUGUUCUCGAUGUGCCUAUCUGGUAGAAAAUACUGCUGAUUGGAGGUAUUCAAAACAACAAUAGUAGGAAUUGUCAAGUCAUCCAUUAGUAAGCUAUUGAUAUAAUCAUUUCCAUCCAUAUGGCCAAACUGGAAAUCCCUGUGAAAGUGAUCCCGAUAAUCUCUUGCAACUUCCUGAAUAAUAGAUUUCAGUCUGGUAUGUUCCACUGAAGAGUUUUUGUCAUCAAUGACUGCAAUAGCCACAAGCUUUCCUGUAUCUCCAAGUUCGUACAACGUAAAACCAUCCACAGUAAGAUAACCUUGAAAUCUUUCUCGAUUUAUCCAGGAUGACAAAUCACCAUCUUCAUACUCAUCAUACACAAAGUAAGUUCCGUCUUUGAAUACAACAACAGCAGGUAGUUCAGGCAAGGUCAGAUACUCAGGUAGCACAUCUUCUGAGGCAGAAAAAAAGUAUGUAUAAACAAUUAGUUCUGAAGCAACUUCAAUGUAUUUUUCCUUUAAAGGAGAUUCCCCACCAACAUAUACAAAAAGUACACGAUGCCUCUUUCGCACAUGCUCAAACAUAUGCUGGCUAGGAAGUGGCCUGAUAAGAGGUCCUGCUACUCUAUUAGCAAAUUCAAUUAUAUCAUCUUUGGUCCUAGGUCCUCUAUAGUUGUAUGCUAAGUCACCUUUUAAGAGCUUAAUUGUUGGAUAGCCUCGCACUCCGAAUUCAGAUGCAAUACUAGAGAAGGAAGUUGCAUCCAUCUUCCCAACUUUUACUGGAGAGCCCAUGUUUUUCAUUUCCAUACCCACUUCAUUCCACACAGGUUCUAAUUUCUUGCAGUGGCCGCACCACGGUGCAUAAAAAUCUACAAGCCAAAUAUCAUCUUUACGGUUUUCUUUAAACGAUUCAUCCAGAUCCUCCACAAAAGCUGCUUCUGAUGCCAACGCCAGCGCAACCACUGCCGCCCACAGACACUGCUGCCGCCCACCCAUCGCUGCCAUGUUGACAGGAGACCGGGCACGGCCGGAAGGGGAAACGGCACGGCGCCGCGCCGACCUUCCCUCACUGCGCAUGGGCGAGGGGGCGGGCGGUGCGGCGCAGUUUCUGCUAUUGGCGUAACGGCGGUCCGUGGUGGCCUCUGUCUGUGUCUUUCAGGGCCCUGGAGAGCAGCUCUUGGGAGGUGGAAGAAGAAGAAGAGGAGGGAAUCCUGACGUCCUAGCAUGAUGUCUGGGUGGAGCUUGGUGUGCGUCCGCUGCCUUGGUAGAGCUCUUCCUACGUUUCCCAAGGAAGCCGCCGCGUUCGAGUAGCUCCUAUGGGAACACAAAGGGCUAGGGCUCCUCCCAGUCUCUCUCUCUGCUUUCAGUCGCAGAUGGAAAGCUUCUGCCUGUUUGCGAGGAUGUUCACUGCCUAGCUGGGCAGGACUCAGCAGAACCUUCUGAAAAACUUGGCACUGUGAUGUCCCAGCAGAUCGUUGUGCUCUGAUUGACUAAAAACAUUGUUCCCAUUCCUUGAAACAUGAAUUUCAACGUAUCUGUACCAUCCAGAGGUCUUUGAUGGAUAGAAUCCCAUACUCAACCACUUACUGUUAAAUCAGCAACCCUCCAUCACGUUUACGAAAAACACAGGCUUGCACUAAUAUCAAUUUUAUUGUUCUCCUCUUUUCCCAUCCUCUGCUGGCUUGCUUUCAGCGCAGAUUUGCAGAUCCUGGAAGGGCAAGUAAUCCAGCUAAGAAACCUUGGGAAAAAAAAAAAAGAAAAAGAAAAAGAAAAAGAAAAAAAAAAGUAUUUGAAAGCAAGUUUUUCAUCUGGAAAUGUUUAGCCUUGUUUAGAGACAUCCUGGAGAAUCUUAUUAUUACUUAUUACUAUAUCCAAACACCUUCAGGUUUAUGGAGGACAGCCAGCCUCUUCUUAGUGGUGCCCAGUGCCAGCACAAGAGCCGUGGGCAUAAACUUGCACAGGAGGCUCCCUCUGAACAGCAGGCAGCACUUCCGUGCUGCGCAGGUGACGGAGCACUGGCACACAUUCUCCAGAGGCUGUGGGGUCUCCUUCUCGGAGAUCUCCAGAAGCUGCCUGGCCGUGGGCCUGGGCACCCUGCUCUGGGUGGCCCUGCUGCAGUGGGGCUGGAACUGGGGGAUCCAGAGGGCCCUUUCAACCUCAGCCAUUCUGGGAUUCUGAUAUCUGUUCCUUUUUGAUUUUGCCUUUCUCCUCCAUAUUGCAGUUACUCCCCUGAUCUGUACAAGCAAAUGUUUGAGGUUUUGAGGAGGAGAAAGAUAGAUUGUUUCCAGCGAGAAUUCGGUUCCUCUGACUUUAGUCAAGUCACUUUAUCCACUGGAGAGACCUACAAGCAAGGAGCAAACAUUCCAUUUGCCUCACCUUGGACUCCUGUGUGUGUUAGCCAGAUAAGUGUAUAAAUACAUGUACUCCUUCACUAGCCUAAAAGCAAACUGGGUAUUCAAUAUCUCUGUUUCAUCUAAUGGUUUUUCUGUUUAGCAUAUUGGACUCAUCAAAUGAUCUGCAGAAUUGUCCAGCCCUUUGGAUAGGCUAGUUUCUGGGUCAUUGCUUUAUUGGCAGAGAAAUAGGUCAAGACCUGAGAACAUAUGUCACAGCUCACAUUAAAAUUCAAGUUAUCUGAUUCUGGCCAGAUAGACUUAUCAUUUUCUUGCCAAGUUUGUCUGAAAUACAGCAUUAUGCACCUUAAUAAGACUAUUUCCUAUUUUAUUUUUCAUAAAGCUAGUGGGACAACUAAUGAGUUGCUAACAUAUCUAAUGAAUAAACCUACAGUUAUUCACAGAAUACAUAGAAUUUCUGUUCCACAGCAUUUCAGUUUUUGUAUACCAGCAUUAGCUAAGCACUGACAGCGUAUGCCUGACCAGAUGAGAACUGACAUCUGUCUUGAUCCUAAUCUAGCUGCUGUCUAGACUGAGACAAUGAAAACAUUUUAACUCAUCAGUCCUUUAACAAAAAGUAAAAAUAAAAAUAAAAAAAAAUCCAUACAGGAGAAAAUGGGACUAGCCAGAUAACUUUAAGUUAGUAUAAUCCUAUUCUCUUAUUCAG